GCUCAGGAUGAACGCUGGCGGUAUGCUUAACACAUGCAAGUCGAACGAAAUCUUUCGGGAUUUAGUGGCGGACGGGUGAGUAACGCGUGAGAAUCUGGCUCUAGGUCUGGGACAACCACUGGAAACGGUGGCUAAUACCGGAUGUGCCGAAAGGUGAAAGGUUAACUGCCUGGAGAUGAGCUCGCGUCUGAUUAGCUAGUAGGUGUGGUAAAGGCGCACCUAGGCGACGAUCAGUAGCUGGUCUGAGAGGACGAUCAGCCACACUGGGACUGAGACACGGCCCAGACUCCUACGGGAGGCAGCAGUGGGGAAUUUUCCGCAAUGGGCGAAAGCCUGACGGAGCAAUACCGCGUGAGGGAGGAAGGCUCUUGGGUCGUAAACCUCUUUUCUCAGGGAAGAACAAAAUGACGGUACCUGAGGAAUAAGCAUCGGCUAACUCCGUGCCAGCAGCCGCGGUAAUACGGAGGAUGCAAGCGUUAUCCGGAAUGAUUGGGCGUAAAGCGUCCGCAGGUGGCGAUGUAAGUCUGCUGUUAAAGAGUCUAGCUCAACUAGAUAAGAGCAGUGGAAACUACAUAGCUAGAGUACGUUCGGGGCAGAGGGAAUUCCUGGUGUAGCGGUGAAAUGCGUAGAGAUCAGGAAGAACACCAGUGGCGAAGGCGCUCUGCUAGGCCGUAACUGACACUGAGGGACGAAAGCUAGGGGAGCGAAUGGGAUUAGAUACCCCAGUAGUCCUAGCCGUAAACGAUGGAUACUAGGCGUGGCUUGUAUCGACCCGAGCCGUGCCGUAGCUAACGCGUUAAGUAUCCCGCCUGGGGAGUACGCCGGCAACGGUGAAACUCAAAGGAAUUGACGGGGGCCCGCACAAGCGGUGGAGUAUGUGGUUUAAUUCGAUGCAACGCGAAGAACCUUACCAAGGCUUGACAUGUCGC
rnacentral:rRNA from 1 species